rnacentral:siRNA from 1 species
UACGGUGACUCGAUCUGUGGCU